rnacentral:rRNA from 1 species
GAAUAUUGGACAAUGGGCGAAAGCCUGAUCCAGCCAUGCCGCGUGUGUGAAGAAGGUCUUCGGAUUGUAAAGCACUUUAAGUUGGGAGGAAGGGCAGUAAGCGAAUACCUUGCUGUUUUGACGUUACCGACAGAAUAAGCACCGGCUAACUCUGUGCCAGCAGCCGCGGUAAUACAGAGGGUGCAAGCGUUAAUCGGAAUUACUGGGCGAAACGCGCGCGUCGGUGGUUCGUUAAGUUGGAUGUGCAAUCCCCGGGCUCCACCUGGGAACUGCAUCCAAACCUGGCGAGCUAGAGUAGGGCAGAGGGUGGUGGAAUUUCCUGUGUAGCGGUGACAUGCGUAGAUCUAGGAAGGCACACCAGUGGCGAAGGCGACCCCCUGGGCUCAUACUGACACUGAGGUGCGAAAGCGUGGGGAGCAAACAG